UACCAGCACCCCGAGUGGUCGGGACGAUUAUUGGGCCUAAAGCGUCCGUAGCCGGUCCUGCAAGUCUUCCGUUAAAUCCAGCUGCUCAACAGAUGGGCUGCGGGGGAUACUACAGGGCUAGGAGGCGGGAGAGGCAAGCGGUACUUUAUGGGUAGGGGUAAAAUCCGUUGAUCCAUAGAAGACCACCAGUGGCGAAGGCGGCUUGCCAGAACGCGCUCGACGGUGAGGGAUGAAAGCUGGGGGAGCAAACCGG
rnacentral:rRNA from 1 species